rnacentral:rRNA from 1 species
GACGAACGCUGGCGGCGCGCCUAACACAUGCAAGUCGAACGAGCGAGAGAGAGCUUGCUUUCUCAAGCGAGUGGCGAACGGGUGAGUAACGCGUGAGGAACCUGCCUCAAAGAGGGGGACAACAGUUGGAAACGACUGCUAAUACCGCAUAAGCCCACAGGUCGGCAUCGACCAGAGGGAAAAGGAGCAAUCCGCUUUGAGAUGGCCUCGCGUCCGAUUAGCUAGUUGGUGAGGUAACGGCCCACCAAGGCAACGAUCGGUAGCCGGACUGAGAGGUUGAACGGCCACAUUGGGACUGAGACACGGCCCAGACUCCUACGGGAGGCAGCAGUGGGGAAUAUUGCACAAUGGGGGAAACCCUGAUGCAGCGACGCCGCGUGGAGGAAGAAGGUCUUCGGAUUGUAAACUCCUGUUGUUGAGGAAGAUAAUGACGGUACUCAACAAGGAAGUGACGGCUAGCUACGUG